rnacentral:rRNA from 1 species
UACGUAGGGACCAAGCGUUGUUCGGAUUUACUGGGCGUAAAGGGCGCGUAGGCGGCUUAACAAGUCACUUGUGAAAUCUCCGGGCUUAACUCGGAACGGCCAAGUGAAACUGUUAUGCUAGAGUGCAGAAGGGGCAAUCGGAAUUCUUGGUGUAGCGGUGAAAUGCGUAGAUAUCAAGAGGAACACCUGAGGUGAAGACGGGUUGCUGGGCUGACACUGACGCUGAGGCGCGAAAGCCAGGGGAGCGAACGGG